GUCGAGCGGACAGAAGGGAGCUUGCUCCCGGAUGUUAGCGGCGGACGGGUGAGUAACACGUGGGUAACCUGCCUGUAAGACUGGGAUAACUCCGGGAAACCGGAGCUAAUACCGGAUAGUUCCUUGAACCGCAUGGUUCAAGGAUGAAAGACGGUUUCGGCUGUCACUUACAGAUGGACCCGCGGCGCAUUAGCUAGUUGGUGGGGUAAUGGCUCACCAAGGCGACGAUGCGUAGCCGACCUGAGAGGGUGAUCGGCCACACUGGGACUGAGACACGGCCCAGACUCCUACGGGAGGCAGCAGUAGGGAAUCUUCCGCAAUGGACGAAAGUCUGACGGAGCAACGCCGCGUGAGUGAUGAAGGUUUUCGGAUCGUAAAGCUCUGUUGUUAGGGAAGAACAAGUGCGAGAGUAACUGCUCGCACCUUGACGGUACCUAACCAGAAAGCCACGGCUAACUACGUGCCAGCAGCCGCGGUAAUACGUAGGUGGCAAGCGUUGUCCGGAAUUAUUGGGCGUAAAGGGCUCGCAGGCGGUUUCUUAAGUCUGAUGUGAAAGCCCCCGGCUCAACCGGGGAGGGUCAUUGGAAACUGGGAAACUUGAGUGCAGAAGAGGAGAGUGGAAUUCCACGUGUAGCGGUGAAAUGCGUAGAGAUGUGGAGGAACACCAGUGGCGAAGGCGACUCUCUGGUCUGUAACUGACGCUGAGGAGCGAAAGCGUGGGGAGCGAACAGGAUUAGAUACCCUGGUAGUCCACGCCGUAAACGAUGAGUGCUAAGUGUUAGGGGGUUUCCGCCC
rnacentral:rRNA from 1 species